rnacentral:rRNA from 1 species
AGCAGUCGCCGCGGGAAUACGUAGGUGGCAAGCGUUGUCCGGAAUUAUUGGGCGUAAAGGGCUCGCAGGCGGUUUCUUAAGUCUGACGUGAAAGCCCCCGGCUCAACCGGGGAGGGUCAUUGGAAACUGGGAAACUUGAGUGCAGAAGAGGAGAGUGGAAUUCCACGUGUAGCGGUGAAAUGCGUAGAGAUGUGGAGGAACACCAGUGGCGAAGGCGACUCUCUGGUCUGUAACUGACGCUGAGGAGCGAAAGCGUGGGGAGCGAACAGGAUUAGAUACCCCCGUAGUCCCUGUCUCUUAUAC